rnacentral:tRNA from 1 species
GGCCUUGUAGUCUAGUGGUUAAGACGUGUCCUUGACGUGGAUAAGUCCGCAGUUCGAUUCUGCGCAGGGCCA